CAUAAAGGAAUGAAGGCUAAGAGCAUCACGUCCUGUGAGAACGCCUUCGUGACCAACAUCCUCUUGC
rnacentral:sRNA from 1 species